GAUUAACGCUAGCGGCAGGCAUAAUACAUGCAAGUUGAACGGCAGCACAGGUAGCAAUACUGGGUGGCGAGUGGCGCACGGGUGCGUAACACGUAUGCAACCUACCCUAUACAGGCGAAUAACCUUUAGAAAUGAGGGCUAAUACGCCGUAGUAUUACAGAUGGGCAUCUAUUUGUAAUUAAAGAUUUAUCGGUAUAGGGUGGGCAUGCGUCCCAUUAGUUAGUUGGUAAGGUAACGGCUUACCAAGACGAUGAUGGGUAGGGGAUCUGAGAGGACUUACCCCCACACUGGUACUGAGACACGGACCAGACUCCUACGGGAGGCAGCAGUAAGGAAUAUUGGGCAAUGGCCGCGAGGCUGACCCAGCCAUGCCGCGUGCAGGAAGACGGCCUUAUGGGUUGUAAACUGCUUUUAUACGGGAAUAAUAGAGUGUACGCGUACAUUUAUGCAAGUAUCGUAUGAAUAAGCAUCGGCUAACUCCGUG
rnacentral:rRNA from 1 species